rnacentral:lncRNA from 1 species
GGGCUGUGCGUCGCGUUCAGAGCUGCCGCUGGUUGAUUUCACGGUGCUUUCCACCAGCAAGAAUUGGGGGUGGUGCCGGGCUUUGGCUUCGGCCAGCGGACUUGGGUUCCCUGGCCGCCCCAGCUACCCGUCUUCACGUUUCCAUCUGUUCUCAGCUGGGGGGUACGGGGGAAGAUGGCUGGAAGGCCCCCUGCCCCUGACUCCCACUUCCCAGCCUCUCUGACUGCGGGCUCCUUGGCCUAGCAAGGUGCAGAACACCUGCCACCUGCACCUGAGAGCCCUCCCACUCCAAAGACCUUCCGCACCAAGACCUCGUUUCUGGCAGUCAUGUCUCCUCUGAAAUAGGUGGCAGUUCACUUUCACAAUUUUUAAACUGGUGAGAAAGGACUUGAAUGUGGCUAGAGGAGGGCAGGCCGGAGGCCACACAUGCAGGAAGGUGCCUGAUGUACAAGCCCAUACUGGCCGGAAGGCAGGCCUGGGUGAGGACACUCUGUUGUUGAGAUGAAAAUCCCCUGGGGGAGAGAGGAGAAUAGAGGGGGCAUAAAAGAGAGCACAGCCAGGCACAACGCGCAGGCGCUGAGUCAAUGAGACCCUCCUGCACAUCACACAGGUCAGAGACACGGCCGCAAGCCCCUCCUGUCCACAUGCCCAGAGUUUAGAGACACCAAGGUCUCAGCAUCACCUAGAACCUCUGAGAAGUCAUCUCUUGAUCCCCUUGACACCAGGACUUCAGAGAUGCCCGGUUUCAAAAGAAGACAAGCAAGGGGGAUUCCUCAGUCAACACCCAUUUUCCCCUCUCUCCCUUGCCCACCGAAAGUGAUUUAUAAGCACAGCAGAAAUCAAAACAAACAAGCCAUGCUUGGAAAACGAGGAUCCACAUGUGUAAAUAAACGGGAACUACAGCUCAAAGGCAGUCAUACACUUGUCAUUCUUGUUUCUUCCUCUCAUGACAUGGAAAGGCAGGUAGAAAGAUCUCUUGAAGGUUGCUCCGAAGCCCAUGGGAGUGAAUGUUCCGGUGGACUUGGGGCUCUGCUGACGGAGGCCAGGCCACAAGGGGACAACGCUGGCACCAGGCCCAGUCACCUCUGUACCACUCGUUAGUAGUCUGGUUGGUGGCCGCCAGAUACAGGACAAACAACAGCUCCUCUUGGGCAGCAGUGUGUGCCUGGCAUGACCAGUAGCUGCCGGACAUGGUUCUUCCAGGAGCCUGGAUCUGGC